rnacentral:lncRNA from 1 species
UAAACCUUUUGUUUAGCGACGUUGCCGUUGCCGUCGUGGUUUUCUUAAACCCACUAGUGAGUCGAGUCAGUGAUUAAUAUUUCCUUGUUGUGUGUCAUCCAUGUGCCGUCCAUUAGCACAAGGAUUAUUCCUUUGGCUAGUCCUACUUGACACGUACUUUUUUUUAAUUUUAAAUUAUUUAAUAUUUUCCAUCUCACAGCUGGAAUUCCAAAAUAGUAUCGAAAGAUCAGAUCCAGAUUUCAGACGCCUUCUCAAUCCUAGCACCAUGCAGAGUGCUCCGUAUGACUGCUUCGUCAAUCCUCAGGCGAUACACAAGGUUCGUUUCAACCCCAACAAACAAUCGUUCACGUGGCUUGCCACCGGUGGAGGGGCUGGCCUGGUAAGACUACAUUUAGUUAAAGAGGUCAAACCGUGAGAAGACGGUCAAGGCUGGGUUACAAAGAGCAUUUUUCGGUGCCGUUAUAAAGGAGUAAGAACGAAAUGGGGCUUUGAAGCAAGAAGGUUUUUGUUCUGAGCGUCAGCGAAGUCAACGAGAUUUUACUUGCUCAAAUCAAUAAAGGUGAUGGUAACGCGAUUAGCUUUUCAGAGAAAACAAUAGUUGCAAAUUGAAUAUGCGAAAAAGUGGCGAUUGAAAAAGAGAAAAAGGGAGAUUAUCAAUAAACAUUUCUCCCUUCUUCAUAUUGUGAUAAAAGACGAGGACAUUGUGGUCGACAUAAAAAGGUCCCGGUUCACAAACAGAACGAUCAGAAGGGAGGGGAAGGUAAAGAAACCGAACGUGUACUAGCAAAAAUGGUGAAAUUUUUGAAGAAAUUCUUGAACUUCUCCUUAGUCUGUGGCUUACACUUUGAAAAGUCUACUCCUUAGAAUAUUCCUUAGAAAAUUUCAAAAGAAAAGUGAAUUAGUUUUAACUUAAACGAAAUUAUAAAUGCCCAAGUCUUUCUUUUCGGCUUAUCAUGUAGGAAGAUGAAACAUUUCAGGUCAUUCCUUCAUCUAGUUACUUGCAAAGUAAUUAAUGGUACAUAAGUCGAAAAGGCUUGUUAAAGUGAGCUCUAUUUAUUGAAUUAUCUUUAUGAAGCCCAAUGAAGUAGGGUCUUCAUAAAUCCUUUUUUUUCGGAGGUACUUGAUAAUAAUUAUCAGUCGUAUCUUUAAGAAACUCGGUUCUUUUGAGCUUGAUCUUGCGCGGUGUGUUAUCUUCUCUUCGACACUUCUACGAAAGUAAGAUACUGUUAACUGGGAAAAGUCCAGUUCGCGGAUAGGGUAUAUAUAUUUUUCUUUUAUCUUCGAGGCACAAUGCGACCAAUCACUCAACGUGCAAAAUAUGCGCCUAAUAGUGAUUGAUGUCAUUAACUACGGCCGCUGCGUCUUCAAAGUUGCACUGAGUUGUACCGUGCCCUACAUGCGGUUUUACUUAACCGCCUGGCCCAGUUCUAAGCUCUUGAGCUUCUUGUUUUCAGUGUAUAGCUGUUGCACGAUUUUAGGACGAUUGUUUCAUUAUUUAUUCCUAUGUAACUUAUUUUUACAGGCUUUUGUCUGGAACUUAUUAAAAAAGAAUAUUAAAUGCAUUCUUGAAAUAA